AUUGAACGCUGGCGGCAGGCUUAACACAUGCAAGUCGAGCGAGCGGCGGACGGGUGAGUAAUGUCUGGGAAACUGCCUGAUGGAGGGGGAUAACUACUGGAAACGGUAGCUAUUACCGCAUACCAGCAGAUGUGCCCAGAUGGGAUUAGCUAGUAGGUGGGGUAAUGGGUCACCUAGGCGACGAUCCCUAGCUGGUCUGAGAGGAUGACAGGCCAACCUGGAACUGAGGAACGGUCCAAGCUCCUACGGGAGGCAGGGGUGGGGAAUAUUGCACAAUGGGCGAAAGGCUGAUGCAGCCAUGCCGCGUGUGUGAGGAAGGCCUUAAGGUUGUAGAGCACUUUCAGCGAGGAGGCGUUACUCGCAGAAGAAGCACCGGCUAACUCCGUGCCAGCAGCCGCGGUAAUAC
rnacentral:rRNA from 1 species